UACGUAGGGGGCAAGCGUUGUCCGGAAUCAUUGGGCGAAAGAGCGUGUAGGCGGCCCGGUAAGUCCGUUGUGAAAGUCCAGGGCUCAACCCUGGAAAGCCGAUGGAUACUGCCGGGCUAGAGUUCGGAAGAGGCGAGUGGAAUUCCUGGUGUAGCGGUGGAAUGCGCAGAUAUCAGGAAGAACACCUAUGGCGAAGGCAGCUCUCUGGGACGGUACUGACGCUGAGACGCGAAAACGUGGGAGCGAAGCAGG
rnacentral:rRNA from 1 species